GCCUCCUUAGCUCAGUGGCAGAGCGCUGGUCUCGUAAACUAGAGGUGAGUUCAAAUCUCACAGGAGGCA
rnacentral:tRNA from 1 species